AUGUCUCUCUAUCCAUCUCUUGAAGACUUGAAGGUAGACAAAGUAAUUGGGGCUCAAAAUACUUUUUCUGCAAACUCUGCCAAUCCAGCAAUUUUGUCAGAAGCUUCUGCUUCCAUCUCACGAGAUGGAAAUCUCUAUCCCAAACUAUAUCCGGAGCUCUCUUAAUACAUGGGCCUGAGUUUAAAUGAAGAAGAAAUAUGUGUAAAUGUGGCCAUGGUUUCUGGUGCACCAAUUCAGGGGCAAGAAGUUCCAGUAUGAACUAUAUGGUGGCUCCUGUAACUGGUAAUGACGUUGGAAUUCAUAGAGCAGAAAUUAAGCAAAGGAUUUGUGAAGUCAUUUUGUGUAAGGAUCAAAAUGGAAAAAUUGGACUCAGGCUUAAAUCAAUAGAUAAUAGUAUAUUUGUUCAGCUAGUCCAGACUAAUUUUCCAGCCUCAUUGGUUGGUCUGAGAUUUGGGGACCAAGUGCUCCAGAUUAAUAGUGAAAACUGUGCAGGGUGAAGCUCUGAUAAAGCGCACAAGGUGUUCAAACAGGCUUUUGGAGAGAAGAGAAGAUUACCAUGACCAUUCGUGACAGGCCCUUCGAACGGACAAUUACCAUGCAUAAGGAUAGCACUGGACAUGUUGGUUUUAUCUUUAAAAAUUGAAAAAUAACAUCCAUAGUGAAAGAUAGCUCCGCAGCCAGAAAUGGUCUUCUCACAGAACAUAAAAUCUGUGAAAUCAAUGGACAGAAUGUCAUUGGAUUGAAGGACUCUCAAAUUGCAGACAUAUUGUCAACAUCUGGGACUGUAGUUACUAUUACAAUCAUACUUGCUUUUAUCUUUGAACAUAUUAUUAAGCGGAUGGCACCAAGCAUUAUGAAAAGCCUAAUGGACCACACCAUUUCUGAGGUUUAAAAUUCACGGCACCAUGGAAAUGUAGCUGAGCGUCUCCAGUUUCCUUCUUUGGCAACUUCGGUAUUAUGCACAUGUAGCUUUCCCAGAGCCAGCGAGCAUAUGCUGCAUGAGGACCUUUC